rnacentral:rRNA from 1 species
ACAACGGAGGCGCAAGGGCUGUCGCUGGCCUUCAAAGGUCGUGCACGCCCGGGCCCUCUCACAAUCCAUCCCACCCUUUGUGCAUCACCGCGUGGGUCCCCUUUGCGGGAGGGCUCACGUUUUAACAUAAAAACUCGAUACAGUGUAGAAUGUUUAUUUUUGCGGUCACACGCGAUCAAUACAACUUUCAACAACGGAUCUCUUGGCUCUCGCAUCGAUGAAGAACGCAGCGAAAUGCGAUACGUAAUGUGAAUUGCAGAAUUCAGUGAAUCAUCGAAUCUUUGAACGCACCUUGCGCCCCUUGGCAUUCCGAGGGGCACACCCGUUUGAGUGUCGUGAAAUCCUCAAAACCCCUCUUCUUUGGGAGUUUUGGAAUUGGAGGUUCAAUGCUCGCUUUUGCCUUUGAAAGUGAGCUCCUCUCAAAUGAAUCAGUGGGGUCUGCUUUGCUGGUCCUUGACGUGAUAAGAUGUUUCUACGUCUUGGAUUUGGCAUCGUCCCUGCUCCUAAUCGUCUCAUGGACAAUGAUGGUGCUUCCGGUCACCGCCAUCCACAUCGGCGGGAGGCUGGACCCACAAGAGAAAACCUUGA